GCGGGCGUGGCGGAAUUGGCAGACGCGUAUGCUUCAGGUGCAUAUGAGGGUUCCCUCGUGAAGGUUCAAGUCCUUUCGCCCGCA
rfam:Atopobium vaginae DSM 15829 Contig27.fasta, whole genome shotgun sequence.